GCCGGGAUAGCUCAGUUGGUAGAGCCGAGGACUGAAAAUCCUCGUGUCACCAGUUCA
rnacentral:tRNA from 1 species